ACAAGUUUGGCUUCAUUGUCAUGGAUGGUAAUGGAACACUCUUUGGCACAUUGAGUGGUAACACACGUGAAGUCCUUCACAAAUUUAGUGUCGACCUUCCUAAGAAACAUGGAAGAGGAGGUCAGUCAGCACUUAGGUUUGCCCGUCUUCGGAUGGAGAAGCGGCACAACUAUGUGAGGAAAACAGCAGAGCUUGCAACCCAGUUCUUUAUUAAUCCUGCCACUAGUCAACCCAAUGUUGCAGGAUUGAUACUGGCUGGAUCAGCUGACUUCAAAACAGAGCUCAGUCAAUCCGACAUGUUUGAUCCUCGUCUUCAGGCCAAAAUACUUAAUGUUGUCGAUGUCUCUUAUGGAGGGGAAAAUGGAUUCAAUCAAGCUAUUGAAUUGUCA
rnacentral:misc_RNA from 1 species